rnacentral:rRNA from 1 species
CCUACGGGGGGCAGCAGUGAGGAAUAUUGGUCAAUGGCCGAGAGGCUGAACCAGCCAAGUCGCGUGAGGGAUGACGGCCCUACGGGUUGUAAACCUCUUUUGUCGGGGAGCAAGACCCGCCACGAGUGCCGGGACGAGAGUACCUGAAGAAAAAGCAUCGGCUAACUCCGUGCCAGCAGCCGCGGUAAUACGGAGGAUGCGAGCGUUAUCCGGAUUUAUUGGGUUUAAAGGGUGCGCAGGCGGUCUAUUAAGCCAGCGGUCAAAUCGCGGGGCUCAACCCCAUCCCGCCGUUGAAACUGGCGGUC